CUUGGCGUGGGGGGGGCCCACGGGGGGGGCCACUGAUCAGCCUUGGCGGAGGUCUGCGCUCUCCGACUGCUUCUAGUUAAAUAAAUGUUCAACAAAUAACUGAAACACCAUGUUUUUCUCAUGUUGAAUUCAUUUACAUUCAUGCAGUCAACUUGUGUGGCCAGUAGGGGAGAGUGGGGUAAAUUGUGCCAGUUUUUACUCAGAGUGACUUUAAAGUGAGGUCAUGACAGUAAUGCCUCCAACUUAAGUAUGGUAAGUUCAGAUAUUUAAUGCCUCCAACUUAAGUUUGUACAUAUAUUUCAGGAUGUGGUGUAUCCCUGGGAAUAAUAACUUUGGAUCUGAAAUAAACUGUUUAAGAAAUAUAACUUUUGGGAA